GUUGGUGAGUAUUCUAAUGUAUUCCACUCCAGUUUGUCUAGGUUUUUCAAUUUUUUAUUUACAUUUUUAAUUUAUUUUUUUUUGGGGGGGGGUCAGUGAAUAAAAGUAUUUGGGCAGGUCAUCAUCCCAGAAAAAUCUGGAGUCGGAUUGGUCUAUAUAAAUUAUUUUCUGACAACAUGAUGGACCUGGCCUCUAGGAAGAAGUCGGAGAGUGAGGUGAUCAAUACCUGUUCUUACUGGGCAGGCAGACUGGGGCAUUGAUUCUUAUCUCAUGAUCUCGGUAUGGCAGGGGACUGUAAAAGGUCGGAAGAAGGCAAGUAUCAUUGCAUAAACCAAACAAGCUGGAUACAGAGUUUGUUAAAGUUGGGUCUUUCACAGGUGCCUUUGAUGACCUACAAUGUGGUGGCAGCGGCUGUUUGUCACAACCACCACUGGACGCUUAUUGUGAGUACUAAAUAAGUUAUUAUCAAAUGUUGUACCAGAUCUGUCUGACUCGGUUUGUACUGGACAGGUUAUUUACCCCAUGGAAAAGAGGAUAGUUAAUGUUGACCCCUUUGGUGCAACUGAAGCACAAAUCGAAAGGUACCAGGAGAUGACCAGAGCUUUUGUACGCAAACAAUGCCUGGUCAUAGGGAGGUGCGAACGCUCCACAGUGCCUCACCCAAGGCAGCAGGAUGGUACAUCGUGUGGCAUUCUCGUGUGCGCGAUUGCAGAGUUUAUAUUAAGGGGUCGAGAAGCGGCCUUCCCUGUCCAGGCGGAGGGUGUGUCAAAACUGAGGCUGGACUGGCAACGACUCUGCUGGCAAAGACAGAUGACCUUUCGGGAUCGUGUCGGGCAUGUGGGGAGUUCAGCUUACAGAUGACUGGAUUGAAUCCAAUAGCUGUUCUGGGUGGAAUCACUGCGCCUGUGUAGGAUAUCCAUCCACAGUGGGAGAGUAUCACUGCCAGGCCUGUGAGGAAUAAUCCAUCAGCAAAUUUGCAAAG